AGCGAACGCUGGCGGCAGGCUUAACACAUGCAAGUCGAGCGGGCAUCCUUGUGGUGUCCGCGGCAGACGGGUGAGUAACGCGUGGGAACGUGCCCUUCGGUUCGGAAUAACUCAGGGAAACUUGAGCUAAUACCGGAUACGUGCGAGAGCAGAAAGGUUUAUCUGCCGAAGGAUCGGCCCGCGUCUGAUUAGCUAGUUGGUGAGGUUAUGGCUCACCAAGGCGACGAUCAGUAGCUGGUCUGAGAGGAUGAUCAGCCACACUGGGACUGAGACACGGCCCAGACUCCUACGGGAGGCAGCAGUGGGGAAUAUUGGACGAGGGGGGCAACCCUGAUCCAGCCAUGCCGCGUGAGUGAUGACGGCCUUAGGGUUGUAAAGCUCUUUGCUCCGAGACGAGAAUGACGGUACCGGAGGAAUAAGCCCCGGCUAACUUCGUG
rnacentral:rRNA from 1 species